rnacentral:rRNA from 1 species
UACGUAGGGGGCAAGCGUUGUCCGGAAUUAUUGGGCGUAAAGAGCGCGUAGGCGGUCCGAUAAGUCGGCUGUGAAAGUCAGGGGCUCAACCCUUGAAAGCCGGCCGAUACUGUCGGACUAGAGUCCGGAAGAGGCAAGUGGAAUUCCCGGUGUAGCGGUGAAAUUCGUAGAUAUUGGGAAGAACACCGGUGGCGAAGGCGGCGAUCUGGGAACAUACUGACGCUGAGGUGCGAAAGCGUGGGGAGCAAACAGG